rnacentral:rRNA from 1 species
GACGAACGCUGGCGGCGUGCUUAACACAUGCAAGUCGAACGGAAAGGCCCUGCUUUUGUGGGGUGCUCGAGUGGCGAACGGGGGAGUAACACGUGAGUAACCUGCCCUUGACUUUGGGAUAACUUCAGGAAACUGGGGCUAAUACCGGAUAGGAGCUCCUGCUGAAUGGUGGGGGUUGGAAAGUUUCGGCGGUUGGGGAUGGACUCGCGGCUUAUCAGCUUGUUGGUGGGGUAGUGGCUUACCAAGGCUUUGACGGGUAGCCGGCCUGAGAGGGUGACCGGCCACAUUGGGACUGAGAUACGGCCCAGACUCCUACGGGAGGCAGCAGUGGGGAAUAUUGCACAAUGGGCGGAAGCCUGAUGCAGCAACGCCGCGUGCGGGAUGACGGCCUUCGGGUUGUAAACCGCUUUCGCCUGUGACGAAGCGUGAGUGACGGUAAUGGGUAAAGAAGCACCGGCUAACUACGUG